rnacentral:lncRNA from 1 species
AUUAAAAGGAAAUAUGUGAUAUUUGAAGACAUGUACAGGAGGAAGUGACUGAGUUUAGUAGGGGAAUCUGGAAGACUUCAAAGAGGAGGUGUCUUCUGGUUUAAAACAUACUUAUGAACUUUAUAAUUUGAUCAAUGAACCUUCCUAUUAUUAAGAGCUUCUGCAGUAUGUUGGGGGUCUUCUCUAGUCCCUGGUCAUCUUGGAUUUUUCAGUGCCUGAAGAUACCAACACUGAAGUCUGCAAGACAGUGAAGAUGGUAACCUGCCCUCCAUUUAGGAGCUCCAGCCCAGGGAUAUUUUUGCCUACGACUAGUGGUCGAGAAAGAGAGAGAGAGAAAAUGAGCUCAGAUGUGGUACCAUAUAAAGAUAAUUUAAAAUUGCUAUAA